rnacentral:snoRNA from 1 species
ACGACCUUACUUGAACAGGAUCUGUUCUAUAGGCUCGUACCACUGAAUCCUUGACUUCUAACGAGACAGGAUACCAAGUCUGGUGGAUGAAUCAUGGCCAUGAGGCUCGAGCGUGCAUGGCACCUUUCGAGGGUCAUGGUGCAGUGGAUGAUCGUUCUGAGCCUGGUUUACCGCCU